GACGUAGGGCGCGAGCGUUGUCCGGAUUUAUUGGGCGUAAAGAGCUCGUAGGCGGCUUGUCGCGUCGUCCGUGAAAACCUGCAGCUCAACUGCAGGCUUGCGGUCGAUACGGGCAGGCUAGAGUUCGGUAGGGGAGACUGGAAUUCCUGGUGUAGCGGUGAAAUGCGCAGAUAUCAGGAGGAACACCGGUGGCGAAGGCGGGUCUCUGGGCCGGAUACUGACGCUGAGGAGCGAAAGCGUGGGGAGCGAACAGG
rnacentral:rRNA from 1 species